AGGUACUGGAUCAGUGAGUUCCCAGCAGUGUUGAUCUGAACCCAGAGCUGGCAGAGCAGAUCAGAGGGCUGAAGGAGCAGCUGGCCUAGCAGGGAGGGGAGCACCAGAACACACUCAUCAACAUUGACAGUGUGCCGUCAUAGGAGUGGAGAAGACAGGCUCAGUCUGACUUCAAGAAGAGGAAGACAUCUCUCCUCUUUCAUCACCUGGACUCAUCUGAACUAGCAGAGCACCUCACCUACAUGGAGCAUAUGUCCUUCUGUCGGAUACCGUGUGUCUACGACGGUUCCUUACCCUCCAGUUCCAGGACCACCACAGCUUUGUGAUGCAUGGCUGCACGGUAGACUUCAUCACCCACUUCAACAGUGUGUCUCAGUGGAUCCAUCUGAUGGUGCUCAGCAAGCCCCCCCCCCCCUCAGAGGGCUGUAGUCCUCUCCCAUUUCAUCAGGG